rnacentral:lncRNA from 1 species
AUCCACAACAAUUAAUGGAGCUAAAACGACACAACCAACACGACAUGAAAGAAGCCUUCGAAGCCUUGAAAGAUGCAUUGAUUUUUAUGUUUCUCGAGUGCUUGUCUAUAAUAGUUCUGAUAGCUACUUAUCCCAUCAAUGGCCUCUCUACGAAAGACUGGAACGCACCGGAAGGUCAGAAACUGUGUGCUUGGCCAAGCAAAAUAAUUAAUG